rnacentral:lncRNA from 1 species
CUACGAGGUAUUAAUUGAAGCAAUGAAGUAUGGUUUACUCGUAUCAAAGUGUUUCGUAAGGAGUUGUAACUCUAGUUUACAAAAAACUAUGGAUGUAUACUACUAUAUCUAUAUAUCUAUAUAAAACAUUUCAUAUGUACAAAAUAGUAAUUUAACAUCAAUUUUUUAAGAUGGCAUACUAAAAGUCUCAAACAAAACCCUAUAUUUUUACAUUUUUCUCCCCAUUCUACCCUGCUCUCCCUAAAUCCCCCUAUCAGAUAUGAAACCGUCCUUUGAAAUUGAAUGUUAUCAUCAAUUUCUUCAACUCAAUCGUUCUCUUCAAUGCGAUAAUAAUUAGAUUCUUCAAUAUAAUCGUUCCUCCGCUCAUCCCAAAUCAUGCCUUGUUUCACUAAUUAAUUCAUUCCCGCUCGCUCCCAUUUCUACCCCUGCUCUCUUUUCAUCGCUCAACACACACCUGCGACAUCAUCCAUUAUCAGUUGCAAGACCUCAAUUCCAUUCAUGAGUUUAAUUUUCAAUCCAGUGAAUGCCCAAAUUAAAUCCGUUGAAACCGAUGUCUCUUUGUUUCCCUUUGAAUUGAAAGAGUGGGAGGUUAGAAGUAGAGACAGAGAAAAGUAGGGAAGCAGCUGUUGGUUUCUAAAGCAACCGAUGGUUUUAUCUAAUUCUUACUUUUUAUAUAUGUUUUUGUGUGUACUGAUGAUGCAGGGUUUUUUGAAUAUAUUCUUUUGUAGUGAUAUUUGCAAUGAUACUAGGGCUUGGUUCAAAUGUUUUCUCGGACAAGGUAGAUUCAUUGCGAAAAAAAGGAAUAGUUAAGUGAUUGAAAGCAACCACAUACUCUUUCCUGGAUGGAGUGACAAAUUGUGUUCACUUUUAAAGCAGCUUGAAACAGCAAAUAAGAGCAUUGGUAGCGUUGUUGUUGUUCUGGCUGAGAGGUAUGGAUAUAGUAAAACUUGAAUAUAGAUUCACGGGCACUUUAGUUAUAUGCAGAAGUAGUUUUGGUUUCGAAGGCACAAGCUAUAAUUGUACUCGCAGCAGAUGAAAAUGUAGAUCAGAGUAAUGCACGUGCGUUGAGGGUUGUGCUUAGCCCUACUUGAGUAAACGAGGGGCUGAGGGGUCAUGUUGUUGUUGAGAUGUCAACUCUUACAUUACCAUUUUUUGGACUGCUUUCUAUUGGUCGGCUAGGUUACGGGUCAAAACUCUUGGCAGUCUUUUAAUAAAACAAGGAAAGGCCGAAGAUGCUUUUACGUGGUUUUUCUAUAUAUUUGCUUAAUUGCUUUUAUUUCUAAAUUUAUAAUUUUUAAUUUUUUCAUAUUUUUCUCUUGGUUAAUCUUAAUUGUAGGCUUAUUUACCAAGUUAUAUGGAGAAAAUGAUCAAAGGGUUGGAAUGGACAUGUGCUCUCUACCUUACGCAAAGUGCGCAAAAGGUGCCUUAUGUCCCAAAUGGUCUUGAAAUGAUUAAGUGCACCUGGAGUUGUUGAAUCAUUUGCUCAAGUUUGUUCAGAAGUGGUGCAAUGGAUCCCUUAAUGGAUUCAUAUAUUGAGAGAAUGCAAGCAACAUGGGUAAACUUGCAAAAAUGAAUUUUGAGUCCAUACAGGUCGGUUUAAAAAAAAACUAUCAAGCUGGUGGUGGCGGUAACGGUGACGGUCCGACGAGACAUUUAUACAAAAUCACAUUUCCUUAAAAAAACUAAAACUACUGAAAAAAAUUAUAGUUUGCAGGUAAUAUUUAUGUUGAUAUGAUCGUGAUAUUUUUCUACACGCCCUUCGCUUCCGGUCCCCAGCCCCUCUAUUGGUAAACUAUGAACUCUUCAUUUUUGUUAUGUAACUAGAGAAUUGAGUAGCCAUAUUGUAGCGAGUCGUUCCCUUUUGCUGAAUAUUUACUCUAUACUUCUAAUUUGAUUUUGUUCCAACUUAUUUUGCUCCCAAAUGUGUGGAUUUUGAAAUUUAACCCGACCUUUUGUUGUUGCUGGUUUAAAAUUAACUUAUAAGUUUAAACUAUUCAAAUUUACAUGUCUGGUUGCUGGUUUAAAAUCAACUGAUAAAUUUUUACUGUUGAAAUUUACAUGUCUGGUUAUGUUGAUUAUUAGUUUAUCAUUAAUUCUUUGAUUUGGUAUCACGGCUCUUGAGGCUAGGGAAGAUCAAGGAUAGGCGAGAUGGCGUACCAAGGAGGAGGUAACCUGAAGUCGACCUUCAUUGAUAGAGUGAAGAUGUAUACGGUGGUGGGACCGCUUGCUAGCCACAUGGCUACCACCGAAUAAGCUUAGACCUCUUCGCAAAGGCAAAAGUACUGAUUUUGUUGAUUGUUUUAAUUUUCUUUAGUAAAAAAUGAAAGGUUUACUAGAUAAAUAUGCGUACAUGUAAAACAGUUGAGAAAGAUGCAGUUCCCGAUAGU